UUUAUGGAGAGUUUGAUCCUGGCUCAGGAUGAACGCUGGCGGCGUGCCUAAUACAUGCAAGUCGAGCGAACAGACAAGGAGCUUGCUCCUUUGACGUUAGCGGCGGACGGGUGAGUAACACGUGGGUAACCUACCUAUAAGACUGGGAUAACUUCGGGAAACCGGAGCUAAUACCGGAUAAUAUUUCGAACCGCAUGGUUCGAUAGUGAAAGAUGGUUUUGCUAUCACUUAUAGAUGGACCCGCGCCGUAUUAGCUAGUUGGUAAGGUAACGGCUUACCAAGGCGACGAUACGUAGCCGACCUGAGAGGGUGAUCGGCCACACUGGAACUGAGACACGGUCCAGACUCCUACGGGAGGCAGCAGUAGGGAAUCUUCCGCAAUGGGCGAAAGCCUGACGGAGCAACGCCGCGUGAGUGAUGAAGGUCUUCGGAUCGUAAAACUCUGUUAUUAGGGAAGAACAUACGUGUAAGUAACUAUGCACGUCUUGACGGUACCUAAUCAGAAAGCCACGGCUAACUACGUGCCAGCAGCCGCGGUAAUACGUAGGUGGCAAGCGUUAUCCGGAAUUAUUGGGCGUAAAGCGCGCGUAGGCGGUUUUUUAAGUCUGAUGUGAAAGCCCACGGCUCAACCGUGGAGGGUCAUUGGAAACUGGAAAACUUGAGUGCAGAAGAGGAAAGUGGAAUUCCAUGUGUAGCGGUGAAAUGCGCAGAGAUAUGGAGGAACACCAGUGGCGAAGGCGACUUUCUGGUCUGUAACUGACGCUGAUGUGCGAAAGCGUGGGGAUCAAACAGGAUUAGAUACCCUGGUAGUCCACGCCGUAAACGAUGAGUGCUAAGUGUUAGGGGGUUUCCGCCCCUUAGUGCUGCAGCUAACGCAUUAAGCACUCCGCCUGGGGAGUACGACCGCAAGGUUGAAACUCAAAGGAAUUGACGGGGACCCGCACAAGCGGUGGAGCAUGUGGUUUAAUUCGAAGCAACGCGAAGAACCUUACCAAAUCUUGACAUCCUUUGACAACUCUAGAGAUAGAGCUUUCCCCUUCGGGGGACAAAGUGACAGGUGGUGCAUGGUUGUCGUCAGCUCGUGUCGUGAGAUGUUGGGUUAAGUCCCGCAACGAGCGCAACCCUUAAGCUUAGUUGCCAUCAUUAAGUUGGGCACUCUAAGUUGACUGCCGGUGACAAACCGGAGGAAGGUGGGGAUGACGUCAAAUCAUCAUGCCCCUUAUGAUUUGGGCUACACACGUGCUACAAUGGACAAUACAAAGGGCAGCGAAACCGCGAGGUCAAGCAAAUCCCAUAAAGUUGUUCUCAGUUCGGAUUGUAGUCUGCAACUCGACUACAUGAAGCUGGAAUCGCUAGUAAUCGUAGAUCAGCAUGCUACGGUGAAUACGUUCCCGGGUCUUGUACACACCGCCCGUCACACCACGAGAGUUUGUAACACCCGAAGCCGGUGGAGUAACCAUUUGGAGCUAGCCGUCGAAGGUGGGACAAAUGAUUGGGGUGAAGUCGUAACAAGGUAGCCGUAUCGGAAGGUGCGGCUGGAUCACCUCCUUUCU
rnacentral:rRNA from 1 species